rnacentral:rRNA from 1 species
CCUACGAGAGGCAGCAGUGGGGAAUAUUGCACAAUGGGGGAAACCCUGGUGCAGCGACGCCGCGUGAGUGAAGAAGUAUUUCGGUACGUAAAGCUCUAUCAGCAGGGAAGAAAAAAAGUCCUUUGGACUAUGGACGGUACCUGACCAAGAAGCCCCGGCUAACUACGUGCCAGCAGCCGCGGUAAGACGUAGGGGGCAAGCGUUAUCCGGCUUUACUGGGUGUAAAGGGAGCGUAGACGGCAGCGCAAGUCUGGAGUGAAAUGCCGGGGCCCAACCCCGGAACUGCUUUGGAAACUGUGCAGCUGGAGUGCAGGAGAGGUAAGCGGAAUGCCUAGUGUAGCGGUGAAAGGCGUAGAUAUUAGGAGGAACACCAGUGGCGAAGGCGGCUUACUGGACUGUAACUGACGUUGAGGCUCGAAAGCGUGGGGAGCAAACAGGAUUAGAUACCCGAGUAGUC